UAACAUUUAAAGUUAUUAAUUUAAAAGCAAUAUGGGAAUAAUAACUAAUAGGUUGUCACAGUAGUAAACUAAAACCUACCUUAGAGGAAAAGCCACACAAACUCAAAAAUAAUUACCACAUAUGCACAUCUUACUGUGCUAAUAAUAGCAUACAUAAGUUUACCUCUGCAUUCUGGUGUCAAGAUGGGAACUGUUGCAUUCUUUCGGAUAUUAGCCCCAGCUGUCCUUCUCAGUCCCAUGUUCUCCAGCUUCAGCUUUCUGAUUUCCGUCCUCAUCGCCCUGAUCACCUGUAUGAGCCUCUGUUCUCUGUCCAUGGUGCCACACUUUUCCACCCUGUCUGAUUCUCCCGCAGAGGGAAACAACCUACCACACGGCCCCAUGUGACCUGUAAACACGCAGACCACACAGGAAUGCUACAGCUACAACCCCAACAUGAUGUGUGUUCAGAGGUCACGUUGGUGUUAUUAUGAAGUUAAGUAAUUUUCAUGUCAUGGGUAAAUUGUGCAUUACUCCAUCCUUAUAGAGGUAUGAUAAAACACGCCUUUAUUUAAUAUUUGGUGAUGUGUGAGCUCCUCAUUGAUUUGUCCGUUACAAACUGACCUUUGGGACACACAUUUGAGCAGCUGAGAGGAGCUUAUUAUCAAGUUGUCCUUUUGCUCGAGUCGGGUUUUGACAUCACAUUACAUACUUUAAGUUCCUCCCAUUCCACAGUGUGGUGUGUAAGCUGUUUGUCUGCUGAUAACAACCCCCUCGGCAACAGAGAGAUAAACUCUGCAUGCUGCUGUAGAGACAGCUAACACAAGAUGCUGACAGACUACAUGACAGAAACGUAUUCAGCCUGUGGAAAUGAAGACCCUGGUCCUUAGUGUGGAUAGGAAUGUCGUAGUGCCACUUGCAGACGGCAGUGUCCAGGGAGCCCUAAAAAGGGAAGGAGUCUCACUCUGAUUCCUGGCAGCUCGUGGAGCAGUGGACGCUAAAUUAGGCCUGGUUUCAUUGACUUCCCAUCCCCAGAGUCUCAGCAGCCCCGCAGCCCAGAGGAGGAGAGGCAGGCUGGUGCUCAGGGCCU